UGAGAAUCACCCAGCUUUCCUUCUAGGAUUGGGGGGAGGGUGUAACCAGGGGCCACAGUGACGCGUCGAUAGGAUGAGGGGAGGGUGUAACUAAGGGCCACAUUGAUAAUCUAGAGCAAAGACACCACAUCAGAGAGUAACAGACCUCUACAGUAGUCUGGAGAGAGACCACACCGGAGAGUAAACAUCUACACCAGAGAGAGACAUCUACACCGGUGAGCAAGACCACACUGCCGGAGAGUAACCGACAUCUAGUCUGGAGAGAGAGACCACACCGGAGAGUAAGACAUCUACACCGGAGAGACACCACACCGGAGAUUAACCGAUAUCUACACUGGAGAGAGAGAACACACCGUAGAGUAACCGACAUCUAGUCUGGAGAGACACCACACCGGAGAGUAAGACAUUGAACCGGAGAGAAACACCACACCGGACACAGCAAGGUACCACACAUCUACACCAGGGAGGAGAGAAAACACAGUGGAGAAUAAUGAACUUCCGGACCAGAGAAAGAAGUAGCACUGGGGAGUGACGCAAUUCUAGACCAGAGAGAAGAACCACCCCAGAGAGUAACGGACCUCGGAGAUCACCACACAUCUAGGCUGAAGAGAGGAAUCGCACCAAAGGGUAACCUAAAUCCAGACCAAAGAAGAAGUAACCACUCGAAGGAGUAACAGAAAUCUAGACUCAAGAGAGAAGAACCACCCCAGAGGGUAAGGCCCAUCUAGAUCGGAGAGAGAGAGGAACCACACUAGAGAGUAACAAGUGUAGACCAGAGAGAGAGAAAACACAACCAGACCGAAGAGAGAGGAGCUACCCCAGAGUGUGAAGACUAUGGAGAUGUCCUACUGGAGAGUAACAGACAUCUAUACGCUAGAGAAUAACCACACCAGAGAGGCUAAUACUUAUCUAGACUGGAGAGGAGAACCGUACUGGAGAGUAAUGUACAUCUAUACCGGAGAGCAAUACAUAUCCAACCCAGAGAGGGAAAACACGCAGAAAAGUCACAUAAAUCUGAGCCAUGUAUAUUAGAACAAGGAGCCGCGCUAGACUAGCGACAAAGGAUAAAUAGAAUGAAACAAGCAGAAGGCAGGCGCUCAAUGUGGGAUACACACAUAAAUAGAUUGGAAAAAGACAGAAAAGGCUGCGCCUAUGAACACAAAAUAAAUAAUCGAAGAAUCGCUCCUUUUUAUGGCACCACAGUGACUCCACACACAGAAAAAAGUGCCCAACCACCGUAGUGUAGCCCUGCUUGCCGAAUAGCAAGCAUAAAGGGCGUUUGGCUAUAACCCAGCCACUGCCUUUAGCUUCCAAUGCUGACCACUGGAACGCACAUGAAGCAGACUGGAUGGCAGUGAUAUGCUCAAAAGGAAAGAAAGCCGACCAUAGCGUGAUACAGUCUCAUGGAUUUAUUACAAAAUAUAAUAUUGCACUUGCAUGCAAGUAGAUAAAAGAUUGCAUGUAUAAAUGCCGGCCGGCAAAUAACGAGCCCUUCCAGACGCGUUUCGUCACAAGUGAUGUUAAUAAUUGUGAACCUUUCCCCAUUCGGUAAGCGUGUCUACACUACGGUGGUUGGGCACUUUUUUCUUUGUGUGGAGUCACUGUGGUGCCAUAUAAAAAGAUAAACAAUUAUUUAUUAAAUUACACUUAUUUAUUUUGUGUUCAUAAAUCUGAGCCAAGCAAAUGAACCACACUAAAGAGUGACACGUUUCUAGUCCAAAGAGCUGAACCACACCGGAGAGAAACACACAUCCAGAACAGAGAGAGGAACCACAUCGGAGAGGAACCACAUCGAAGAGGAACACACAUCCAGAACAGAGAGAGGAACCACACUGGAGAGAAACACACUUCCAGAACAGAGAGAGGAACCACACCGGAGAGAAACACACAUCCAGAACAGAGAGAGGAACCACAUCGAAGAAGAACCACAUCGAAGAGGAACACACAUCCAGAACAGAGAGAGGAACCACACCGGAGAGGAACACACAUCCAGAACAGAGAGAGGAACCACACCGGAGAGGAACACACAUCCAGAACAGAGAUAGGAACCACACCAGAGAGAAACACAUCCAGAACAGAGAGAGGAACCACACCGGAGAGAAACACACAUCCAGAACAGAGAGAGGAACCACACCGGAGAGAAACACACAUCCAGAACAGAAAGAGGAACCACACCGGAGAGAAACACAUCCAGAACAGAGAGAGGAACCACACCGGAGAGUAACACACAUCCAGAACAAAAUGAAACGCACUGAAGAGCAAUAUAAAUCCAGACACUGGAGAGUAACGUAUGUCUAAUCCAGAGAGAAACCACGCCAGGGAGUAUCAUAAAUGUAGACUGAAUCGAGAAACCGCACCUCAUAACACACAUGGAGACUGGGGAGAAAGAGACACCACCCUGGAAAAACGGUUGUAGAACGGAGAGAAGAACCUAAUCAGAAACCUGGACCCAAGAGGAGGAGCUAAAUCGGAGAAUCUCGUAUAUCUAGACCUGAAAGAUGAACCAAAUGAAGAAUACACAUCUAGAUAGAAGGACCACUUUGAAUAGCAUAAAACUCCUUCUAGAAAACGCACUCAGAGACAUGCAUUGCACACUCAUUACCAAAGCUGAGAUGGUUGUCCCACAGGAGUGUGACCCGAGAGCCAUGGAUAGGACAGUGUAGGUCCCGUUGUAGUUGGGUUGUGUUGGUGUGACCCGAGAGCCAUGGAUAGGACAGUGUAGGUCCCGUUGUAGUCGGGUUGUGUUGGUGUGACCCGAGAGCCAUGGAUAGGACAGUGUAGGUCCCGUUGUAGUCGGGUUGUGUUGGUGUGACCCAAGAGCCGUGGAUAGGACAGUGUAGGUCCCGUUGUAGUCGGGUUGUGUUUGUGGAAGUUUAGAGCCAUGGAUAGGACAGUGUAGGUCCCGUUGUAGUCGGGUUGUGUUGGUGUGACCCGAGAGCCAUGGAUAGGACAGUGUAGGUCCCGUUGUAGACGGGUUGUGUUGGUGUGACCCGAGAGCCGUGGAUAGGACAGUGUAGGUCCCGUUGUAGUCGGGUUGUGUUGGUGUGACCCGAGAGCCAUGGAUAGGACAGUGUAGGUCCCGUUGUAGACGGGUUGUGUUGGUGUGAGUUGAGAGCCAUGGAUAGGACAGUGUAGGUCUAGUUGUAGACGGGUUGUGUUGGGGGAAGUUUAGAGCCAUGGAUAGGACAGUGUAGGUCCCGUGUAGACGGGUUGUGUUGGUGUGAGUUGAGAGCCAUGGAUAGGACAGUGUAGGUCCCGUUGUAGACGGGUUGUGUUGGGGGAAGUUUAGAGCCAUGGAUAGGACAGUGUAGGUCCCGUUGUAGUCGGGUUGUGGUGGUGUGACCCGAGAGCCAUGGAUAGGACAGUGUAGGUCCCGUUGUAGUCGGGUUGUGUUGGUGUGACCCGAGAGCCGUGGAUAGGACAGUGUAGGUCCCGUUGUAGUCGGGUUGUGUUGGUGUGACCCGUGAGCCAUGGAUAGGACAGUGUAGGUCCCGUUGUAGUUGGGUUGUGUUGGUGUAAGUUGAGAGCCAUGGAUAGGACAGUGUAGGUCCCGUGUAGACGGGUUGUGUUGGUGUAAGUUGAGAGCCAUGGAUAGGACAGUGUAGGUCCCGUUGUAGACGGGUUGUGUUGGUGUAAGUUGAGAGCCAUGGAUAGGACAGUGUAGGUCCCGUUGUAGUCUGGUUGUGUUGGUGUGAGUUGAGAGCCAUGGAUAGGACCGUGUAGGUCCCGUUGUAGACGGGUUGUGUUGGUGUGACCCGAGAGCCAUGGAUAGGACAGUGUAGGUCCUGUUGUAGACGGGUUGUGUUGGUGUGACUUGAGAGCCGUGGAUAGGACAGUGUAGGUCCCGUUGUAGACGGGUUGUGUUGGUGUGACCCGAGAGCCGUGGAUAGGACAGUGUAGGUCCCGUUGUAGUCGGGUUGUGUUGGUGUGACCCGAGAGCCAUGGAUAGGACAGUGUAGGUCCUGUUGUAGACGGGUUGUGUUGGGGGAAGUUGAGCCAUGGAUAGGACAGUGUAGGUCCCGUUGUAGUUGGGUUGUGUUGGUGUGACCCGAGAGCCAUGGAUAGGACAGUGUAGGUCCCGUUGUAGUCGGGUUGUGUUGGUGUGACCCGAGAGCCAUGGAUAGGACAGUGUAGGUCCCGUUGUAGUCGGGUUGUGUUGGGGGAAGUUGAGAGCCGUGGAUAGGACAGUGUAGGUCCCGUUGUAGACGGGUUGUGUUGGUGUGACCCGAGAGCCAUGGAUAGGACAGUGUAGGUCCCGUUGUAGACGGGUUGUGUUGGUGUGACCUGAGAGCCAUGGAUAGGACAGUGUGGGUCCCGUUGUAGACGGGUUGUGUUGGGGGAAGUUGAGAGCCAUGGAUAGGACAGUGUAGGUCCCGUUGUAGACGGGUUGUGUUGGGGGAAGUUUAGAGCCCUUUUUCUGUAUUUGUCUUCAUCAGAACUUACGUUUCUUUUCUUUUGUUUGUUUUUUUAUUGUGGUGUUUUGUGGUGGUGUGCACUUUGUACCAUCCAAGCAAUGCUGAUAAACAGUUGGUAUCAGAAA